GGUGGUGCUGAGAAUUCAGCUCUGAUAGCAACGCCCAGAGUGCAGUGGAGAUGAUGUCAAUCCAUUUCCCAACCAAACACAUCCUGAGGCUUCAGUCUUGCUUGAUGUUGCUUGUUCCCUGACCUCCCUUCAUUUCUGCACAUUUUAUGAGCCUCAGUAUGUCAGCCUCCUUUCUAUUAUCUAAAGAAACUGAGAUACGGAGGUUAAUCUACUUCUGAAUCAUGUCGCAACUAACCAGCCUCCAGGAUGGUCCAGAUGAUCCUCACGUCUUGGGUGUUCACACCUUUGUGUAAUCUUCUCUUACCCUGAAUCAGGACUGGUAUGGAGGGCAUGUCACAGCCACCCCGCCCAUCAGUUCAGCUUUCUCAUCUUCAAAAGAUGCCAUGUCAUCCAUGGCAUUGCAUGCAGACAAGACAACAUGUGCUUUCCCAGAAGCCUCUCAACCGACCACCCGCACUGGUUAGAGCUGCAGUACCUGUCCAUGCCUGAACCAGUCACCAGUGAGGACAGUAGGAGACAGAAGCAGUGACUGACUCCCAGGCGUUUCUGCUUGAGGCUGAGAGACCUUUGGAGACCUUCACUAAGCCAUCUGGGGUCGGGGCCACCCUUGAACAAAAUGAGAGUUCUGGCAACAGGGAAGAUGUUGCAGAAAGGUUGGAGUGGUG